UUUUUGAAAGCAGCUCGUGACCCCGAAACUGCAUCCCCUGGAGCCGAGGACCCAGGCGCCGGGCGGGCGGGUGAACCCAGCCAGUCCCCUCCCCGUCCCCACAACCCCCGCCUCCGGGUGGGGGCGACUCGGCCUCUCCCCGCCGCUGCCUAGCUAGCCCCGGAGGGAGCCUGGGCAGGUGCCGCGGGCUCUGCCGAAAGUGCUGAAAUCGAAAACCGUCACCACUCAAGGAGAACUGAGGCAAGUGGGGCUGCGACUCAGCUCGGCGACACCCCUGUCCCCAGCCUUGGCCUGGGCGCCUGCCGAUACGCCGCACCCCGCCGGCUAGGGUGGCAGCCGCGACUCGAGAGUGCAGAGCCGUACGGAGGGCGGCUUCGAGGCGCGCAGCUUUGUGCGCUGGGACAGGGCCCGGCGCCACGGGUCCGGCGGUCAGCCCCGGGCUGUCAAGACACUUCCAGCAGAACCGAGCCCCGCGCCGCCCACGGAGUCCACCUCACGGCCCGGCGGCCGCCAGCGCUUCUCCGCUCUGGCCCGAAGCACGACGCCCGCCGCCGGGAGCCCGUAAGUUGAGAGUCGCGAGAGCUGGGGGGCAGAGGGGGGAAGGCGGGGUGGCCGGUCCUCGGCGCGGAUGGCUGGUGCAGCUGGGAGCGCAGGCUCCGAGGGGUCCGGGUCUGGGAGUGCUGACCGUGUGGGGGAGGGGGCUAUGGAGCACUAGAGCUUCCCCUCCCAAAUUCCCAGGCGCUGGGCUUUGGGGAGGGGCGUAGGAGCCCAAGGACCUCGGAUUCUGGGGCCCAGGAGCCUUUCCCGCCGUUCUGGGGGCCCGAGGCAGUAGGCAGCGGGAGGGCAGAGAGCUGAGCCGGGAGGACAUCUGGAGGGGUAGCGCGCAGGGGGGCGCCAGCACCUAGGGUCUCUCAGAGUGUAGAGAUUGGGAUGAACGUGGCAGCCCGCGGGGCCUGUAAGUCUCCCCUGCCCUCUGGCCGCUCAGACUCCCGGAUCUGGAACUUGGAGCCCGUACUGGCAGAGGUCACAAAAUUGCCACCACCGUCUCUGCUUUAAUCCUGGGCCCGGCAACCGGCAGAACUGCGUACAGGUGGGGCGGGGAGAAAGGGCGUUUGAGCCGGCGAGUGUCUUUCCCGUACUAGGACCUACGGGACAUUUAUUUACAAAUUAGCCCCAAGCCCAGCAGUCUAACUCCACCGUGAGAGGUGCCUGAAAGACCCACUCCUUCCUUGGCGUAAUGCGGAAAGCCAAGAGGUCCGCAAACCUGCCGACGGGAGCAGCUACACCCACUGGGCCUUGCUCAGCUGUGGAGGGCCGGUUUGUACUGGGGGGGGGGGGAGUAACGGCCCUUCCGGCCCCCAGGAUGUCAGGAGGCAGGGGCUGGUCCCGGGGCCCGCGGUUUGGGCCUCCCCGCAAGCUGCAAACCGAGGCGCAUGGCGUGGGCGGCCGAUGAGGGCGCAGGGGAGUGCAGCACGUAGGCGGGGAGGCCUCGAAGCCCUUCAAGGACCCCGAUUACUUUCCUUUGAAUGAAAAACAACAACAACAACAACAACUGCUCCCUCCCUGCCCCCACCCCCCCAGCCUUAGCCUCCCGGGACCCGCGCUCCAAGCGAUUGUCGCCUGGGACAGUAAACACAGCUCAGUUGCCUCAACUUUCACCGCACAUAAAAGUUCCUGGCGUGCGGAGAAAUUUGAAUAUUUGAUCAGCCCCUUUGAGUGACCCUCAUUAGCUUGGCGCCCUGCUAAGGCCCCGGCAUCGCAAAAAAGCUGCUGGGCCCGGCAUUUGUAUGCCUUGUUAGCGCCGCUUAAUGAAGCUGCCCCGACGGCUCAAAGGCUGCCUCCGGGGCGGGCGCUGCGUACCUCUCGGCACCCCACUCUGCCUAAUGAGCCCCACCGCCCGCUGUAGGCCCCUCCACCCCCCACAUCCUCAAACAAGACAAGUUUGGCUCUCUCUUGGGCCACCGCACCUCCCACUGCCAGGCUCAGGAGAGAGGGCACAAUCCCUUCCCAGUUGGCUGUGCAGACCCAGCCCUGAGAGAGAGAGAGAGAGAGAGAGAGAUGGGAGACUUGGGAGUUGUGAGUGAUAGGGGCUGGGGAGGACGCCUGUGGCCUCAGGUUCUAGUCCAGGGAGUGCACUACCAACCUCUCCCAAGAGGGCUAAUUUCAAAUCAUUUACCCUAUUUCCUUAAAGAUGCAUCUGAACUAGUGCUGGGGUGGCAGGGGGCAGAUGUCCAGGGGAGGCUCAGUUUCCCAUCUUCCUCCCUACCCAAGUUCCUUUGGGUUCCAAAGCCCAGGAGACGGGCUACUUCUCUGCAGAGAUCUCUUGAGAGUUCCAGAACUGGUGUGCUAAGGCUUGAAUUUGAGAAGGGUAGGCACACUCAACUCCUCAAACUAUCGUUGCCCCUCCAUCUCAGACCCCAAACAAACACAGCUGGCACUAGGAAAGUGAUGUGUUAUAGCCUACCUUGUCCCACUUCCCCUGCCCCAGAAAACCAAGCCUUCUCUGGUCUCCUUUAAUCAUGCUUCCAGUCCUUGGGAAGCUUAAAGAAAAACAUUUAAGCAGGGUUUCCCUGUACAGGACCACUGGCUGCUAGGGCAAGAUGGGACUAAAACAGGCCCGAGGGAGAACUAUGUAAGGUAGUGGGACCAAAGCCACCAGCUACCUCCUGUUUUCUCAGUGGGACAAGUCACAUGAUUGGUGAGCAAAUCUAAGGAGCACAGUUAAAAGUUGGGCUGAAAAAGGAGUAGACUCCCUCUCUGUUCCUUCUGUCCUCCCAUGCCCAGUUCACUGGACAGUUGUCCCUCAAGAUCCUUCCUUACACACCCAGCUCUUGGGCUUUUAAGGGUUACUUUUGGGGCUUGGGAAGCGGUCUUCUCUCAGAUCCACACUCUGGGCCUUCUGGAGAUGCCCCCCACUACAAACUCACAAUCCCUUAGAUACACAGCUGGCUGGCCAGCUUGGUAACUUCAGUACUCUAUUCCAGGGUGGCCACCUCUAAGAAUGAGUGGCACCCAGCCAGCCCUCACCCUCUGCCAAAAGGCCAGUGAGGCUCUGGGGUAGCGGAGCCUUCUAAGUCCUGGUCCGUUUCUUUCCCCCAGCUCAACGGGCAUGCCCCGCCCCAUUUCCCAUCCCAGGACCCCCUAAUUCAAGCCCAAACUGAGGAUCUUUAGGGAAUCACCUCUGCCCUGGGCAGGACGGUGCCUUGGGCCUUGAUCCGUGCAAAGGGCAAAGGUAGGAACCGGCAAGCGAAGAAUGAACGAUGUUGGAGAGAAAGGGGACCUGGAGUAGGGGUAAAACUCAGCCCUAUGGCCCUAAGGCCAGGCCCACCAACUGCUCAGGGGAGGAGGUGAAGGGAGGGGGCUAGGAGUCCGCAGGCAUCGGUCGGGGCAGCAGGGACCUAAGGCGUCGGCGUGGGGGGCUAGAUCCAGAGGAGAGGGGCGGGGAGGCGGGGGUCGGGGGAGCGCGCAGGACGGAGGGGGGGGGGUGGUACGGCUCUUUAAGAGCCACAUGGCUGGCAGGAGAAGCGCGCGGCCUGGUGCUGGUAGCGCAUUGACCCCGAAGGGGAUUUAGCGGGAAGGGAGCGGCCGGGCUCCGGUGGCUUUGUCCGGGGGCGACCAGAGAGGCCGAGGCACAAGAAUACCGAGCGACCGCGUCAUGAAAGGCCGCGCCAAAGCGGCGGCGCUGCCGCUCUUGACUUCUGAGCAGGGCUUAGAAAGCUUGUCUCGGCUUAAGCCAUACUGCCGGCGCUGGACCCUGAGCGCCGAGUCCGCGGACUCAGAGCCCCCGACCUCGGAGCGGAGAGAUGAGGGGGAACUGGGGUGGCAGGGGACGUGGCAAAGCUGCUUUUGGCUCUACAGCCACCUGACCCUAGCUCAAGAGCUACUAGCCUGACUGGCAGCGCCAGGGGAUGGCCAGAGCAAAAAUUUUCCUUUUCCAACUUCGGCUUUUGAUUUUGUGUGUCCACUUCGAGAAGCUGCGGAGCCGGCUGACUCCAAAUGGAUUCCCAACAGGUGGCCGGGUUGCCCACGCACGCAGUCCUUGCAAGCGCGGGGUCUCGAGUCUCAUCUCCCAAGCCGAGCCGCGAGCGGAGCCGCCCUCCUGCUCCCCCAGCUCCCCGGCUGUCAAGAGCCCUUCCGCCCGGUCACCCGUCCCCCGAGAAUGACUGCGGGAGCUGGGAGGGCCCCCAGGUCUGGGGCUCAGGGAAGAUCUUACCUGCGAAAAGGUAAGGGAAGCCGGGAGCAGGAAGCAGCGGCGGAUAAAUAUUCAUUAGGAAGUGUAAGUGUCUCCUUUUAAACCGCGCGGCGCGCGCUCUCGCUCCUCUCUCUCUUUCCCUCCCUCCCUCUGUCCUCUUCUGAGGCUCUCUCCCCCUCUCGCUCAGCCUCCCCCCCCUUUCCUGCGAAAUGCCGGGUGGUUCCUCGUCUAGCUAACCUGUUGGGAAGCCUGAGCCCUGGGCAGCGCCUCCACAGCUGCUUUCCUUCGCUCUUGGGGCGCGCGAUCCCCAUCCUCCCUCCCUCCUUUCGCCCAGCCCCUCACCCCUCCUAAAUUACUACAUCAUUAGCUUUAUUUUCCAGGGGUAGGGGGUGGUAGAGGCGCAGCCCGGCGCAUUUCCCCAAAGCAGGGCGAAAAGCUGGCGCGAUCUGAGUCUGCCCCAACUCCAUCCCCACUUCACAUGCCCACCCUACAACCCCACCCAGUCUUCUUUUUUCCCCUCCUGCCAUCUCCACCUCCAUCCUAGAUCAACCUAAGUCCCCCAUCCCCCGUUCCCUCGCCGCCACCAAUCUGGAUCCUCGGCUGGGUCCGUAGUGAGAUGCCAGGUCUGCAGGUCCAACCCUCCUGCCGAGAUUGGAACUUCAAUCUGCACUGGGUGUGGGGAUAGCUCUCUGAGUCCCCCUUUCCCGCUUAGGUUUUGUAGCUUCACCCUGAGGGAACACCUGGGCACCUUGGGCUUUAGGAUCAAAACGCGGGGUACACAUUCAGCGCCUCACGUCGCCAGGCCUCAGGGCCCCAGGACCAUAAACCUUUGGCCGCGCCUGGGAGGCUGCGUGGAAGGUGGGGAAGAGGCGGCCUCACUUUAUGCGACUGGGCAGGAGAGACAGAUCCACCAAACGAUGGACUGACAAUGGCCUUUUAUGAACAAACUGACCUGAAGUUACACGCAAGUCCGCAUCUUUCUCCCUCACGCUCAAGAGAAAAUACAUCAACAGGAUUCCAGGAAGGCACAAGUCCUCGCACAAUCCAUCUGAGAAUCGCUUGCAGCGGCAGGCAAGCACGCACACCCCCCCAUCCCCAUCUCCUCUUGCCCCAGGCCAGCGCUUCUCCUGCCCCCGAGACUAGAAGGCCAGCGUGCUCACAAGGUGGCUCCCAGAAGAGGUGUAUGUCGCUGGACUGUUGCAGGACGGCCUUGGCCACCCUUCUCCCCGCUCCAACCCUCUAGGCCACUCCAAGGGCUCCAAGAGAUGGCGUGGUCCCAAAGCGUUAGGGGGUGGCGGGGCCGCUCUCCCGCAGCCCUCUGAGCUCAGGACGCCGAGGUGGGGGCGGGAGGAGGGGCCGAGGGGGCGGGCCCAGGCAAGUUCCCAGUUACAAAUACCGCUGUUCUUGGGAGGCCUAGCUGGAGAACUUCGCCCCCAAACACGCCUAUUGCCUCCCACAAGGCGCCGUGACUUCCACUGUUGGGUCCUACACUUUUCCCAGGAUCCUGGGGCUCCUUAGUCUGUUUGGUGGCCUGGAGGUGGGGUGUGGCCCGGAGCCUCCAGGCGACCUAGUGACCCCGUCUCCACCUCUACCCCCAUUUGGCGUGGCUCCGCCAAAAUUCACUGAGACAAGUUUCGACCCUUCUAGAAGGGAGCAAGGUGCAGGAUCGUCAGAGGGUCUGCCUCUUCCUGGAAUGUGAAGAAGUUGGGCAGAUGAAGAUGCAAGAGAAGCCUAGAGGGCCCCGGGCUAGGAAGCCAUAUUAACCUUGCAUCCCACCCAAAGCCCCGAGUUUGCAUUUGCACACCUCUGUCCCAUGCAGAUCCAGUGGGUCGCAUGUGCCAGGCUUAAGCUGAGUCACCUGACUGUACAAGAACUGUACAUGCAGUCCUACCUGAAAACACAUGCUAGAAUUAGAGGAGCACUAAGAACAGAAUUUGAGGAUAAAAGAAGUGUCCACUGCCAUAAUCUUUCCAGCGCAUGUCCCAGUUGUCCAGAUGCUGACAAAAGCCACGGUGUGGUUGGAGAGUGACCCCAGGCACAUGGGGGCAUACACACAGGAAGCCCCACAUGGGGAUAUUGAGGGCCUAUGAGGAUGCAGUCUUCGAAACCAAGGGGUUCCUCCUACAGGGAUGUUGCCUCCCAUGGGAAAGAUUUUGUUGAGCGGACUGAGUGAAAGGUUUGAGGUCAAGUCCAGGAGACUAUAAAGAGCACCUCCCCCAUCCCAAAGCUGACCCUUUUCCCUUGCUCCCGGCUGGUCUGGAAACACACAGAAGAGGGCAAUCCAGGAAAAGUUGAUUUGGACCAGGAUGGUUUAUUUGUUGUUAUUAUUAUUGGUUUAGGAGAUUGCAUGCUGUGGGAGGAUGAGAGAGCAUAGGGACCUCACUCAGUGUGCACCCUGAUCGGGUUCAGGAGUUGGGAGGGCCCUGAUUUUGCCCCCACCACAACUACUCUUAUGCUAAAUUCAGUCUUUAAAAAGAAGGCUAGCUCAACUCCACACUUCCCUGCGUUCACUUCCAGCCCAGUCCCUUUGUAUAAAAUAAGUCUGCAAAAGAAGGCUCCAAAGAACACUGAAUUAUUUUUAUUAAACUAGUUUUCUUUGUGAGAUAUUGGGCAGUUCAAACCCCCUCCUCCCCUGUCCCAGGCAGGACCCCCGUCCGUGGGGGUUAGGAUUUAAGAGGAGGGAGUGAUUCCUAGAGUAGCUCUCCUAGAAAGGCCCAAACAAGUGCACAGAUUUGUUUUUGGUUCCAUCUCCGUUUGCCUGCCUAGUGUGGGUGAACCUUCCAGACAGUAGCCACCAUGGUUUUCCUGCACUGGAUGCAGUGGUGCCCUUCGUUUCACUUCACUUCCCUCCCUGACUCUCUCUCUCUGUCUCUGAAAGUAGAGGGUAAGUUUGGGAAGAUUGUUUUAGACAAAAAAAAAAAAAAAA